AUUGAACGCUGGCGGCAGGCCUAACACAUGCAAGUCGAGCGGAUGAAGGGAGCUUGCUCCUGGAUUCAGCGGCGGACGGGUGAGUAAUGCCUAGGAAUCUGCCUGGUAGUGGGGGAUAACGUCCGGAAACGGGCGCUAAUACCGCAUACGUCCUGAGGGAGAAAGUGGGGGAUCUUCGGACCUCACGCUAUCAGAUGAGCCUAGGUCGGAUUAGCUAGUUGGUGGGGUAAAGGCCUACCAAGGCGACGAUCCGUAACUGGUCUGAGAGGAUGAUCAGUCACACUGGAACUGAGACACGGUCCAGACUCCUACGGGAGGCAGCAGUGGGGAAUAUUGGACGAUGGGCGAAAGCCUGAUCCUGCCAUGCCGCGUGUGUGAAGAAGGUCUUCGGAUUGUAAAGCACUUUAAGUUGGGAGGAAGGGCAGUAAGUUAAUACCUUGCUGUUUUGACGUUACCAACAGAAUAAGCACCGGCUAACUUCGUG
rnacentral:rRNA from 1 species